CUGAACCAGCCAAGUAGCGUGAAGGAUGACUGCCCUAUGGGUUGUAAACUUCUUUUAUAGGGGAAUAAAAUGAGCCACGUGUGGCUUUUUGUAUGUACCCUAUGAAUAAGGAUCGGCUAACUCCGUGCCAGCAGCCGCGGUAAUACGGAGGAUCCGAGCGUUAUCCGGAUUUAUUGGGUUUAAAGGGAGCGUAGGUGGACAUGUAAGUCAGUUGUGAAAGUUUGCGG
rnacentral:rRNA from 1 species